UUACGGCCAUAUCACGUUGAAACACCGGUUCCCGUACGAUCACCGAAGUUAAGAAAUGUCCAGCCUGGUCAGGACCUAGAUGGCUGACCGCUUGGGAAUACCAGGUAC
rnacentral:rRNA from 1 species